rnacentral:rRNA from 1 species
AUUGAACGCUGGCGGCAGGCCUAACACAUGCAAGUCGAACGAGUGGCGGAAGGGUGAGUAAUGUCUGGGAAACUGCCCGAUGGAGGGGGAUAACUACUGGAAACGGUAGCUAAUACCGCAUACCAUCGGAUGUGCCCAGAUGGGAUUAGCUUGUAGGUGAGGUAACGGCACACCUAGGCGACGAGCCCUAGCUGGUCUGAGAGGAUGACCAGCCACACUGGAACUGAGACACGGUCCAUACUCCGACGGGAGGCAGCAGUUGGGAAUAUUGCACAAUGGGCGCAGGCAUGAUGCAGCCAUGCCGCGGGUAUGAAGAAGGCCUUGGGGUUGUAAAGUACUUUCAGCGGUGAGGCGUUACCCGCAGAAGAAGCACCGGCUAACUCCGGGCCAGCAGCCGCGGUAAGUC